rnacentral:rRNA from 1 species
CCAGCCCGCUCAGAAACUCAAGGAAUUGACGGGGGCCCGCACAAGCGGUGGAGCAUGUGGUUUAAUUCGAUGAUACGCGAGGAACCUUACCUGGGCUCAAAUGUAUGUUGACGUAUUCUGAAAGGGAUACUUCUUCGGACAAUAUACAAGGUGCUGCAUGGUUGUCGUCAGCUCGUGCCGUGAGGUGUCGGGUUAAGUCCCAUAACGAGCGCAACCCCUAUCAUUAGUUGCCAUCAGGUCAAGCUGGGGACUCUAAUGAAACUGCCUACGCAAGUAGUGAGGAAGGUGGGGAUGACGUCAAAUCAGCACGGCCCUUACGUCCAGGGCUACACACGUGCUACAAUGGCCGGUACAAAGGGCAGCUACCUGGUGACAGGAUGCUAAUCUCAAAAGUCGGUCUCAGUUCGGAUCGGAGUCUGCAACCCGACUCCGUGAAGUUGGAUUCGCUAGUAAUCGCGCAUCAGCCAUGGCGCGGUGAAUACGUUCCCGGGCCUU